CAUUACUCUUCAGUCAUUCUUCUUGCCAACAUGCUUCGGAAUCGGAAGCGUUCAGUAGUCUUACGAGUAGCAUUACGGGUGUGUGGAUCCGUGGUAAACUGGAAGCUGAAACCUGAAAAUGCCUGACAGAAUGUGUGCUGGGUACGCCGUACGAAAUUGGAUCGAUAUAUUUCACCAUGUCCAUUUACAAGGUGUUGAAAAAGUGAUAUGAAAUUGCUCAUAUUGUUUCAGCCUGAUGGCUGGAUUACUACAGAAAAGCUUGAAUCAGGUCAGAAUCAACUCAUAUGAAAUCAGAGGUGUUAAUGUUUGGCCAAUGCAGUCCUGCUGUGCUCCACAACUAAUUGUGUGAUUGCCAGUCACCCUGUAUGGAGUUUCAACUGUAACAGCCUGUCAAUAUCUUAGGGUUUCUUACAUAUGCGAUUAUUAUCACAGACCUGGACUGGUCGUUUUGAGUAAGAAUCCUAGUGUUGGAGCUCGGCGUUGCUGCAAUGUGUAAACAUCUCGUGGUUACUGGUGAUUGGUCUCGACCGUGCGCCUUCGCGAUCACUAAUAUGUGAAGAUGGAACUAAAAUUGCAAUCAUGCUCUCGAUUGUUAGUUAAUAUUUAGGAUUCUGCUGGCUUGAAAUCUUCGACGUUGCAUCAUUAAGCUUUGGCCAAUAAAAGGUUUUUGAAUAAAUCUAAUUAAUAUUGCUA
rnacentral:lncRNA from 1 species